UAGGGAAUCUUCGGCAAUGGGGGGAACCCUGACCGAGCAACGCCGCGUGAGUGAAGAAGGUUUUCGGAUCGUAAAGCUCUGUUGUUAAGGAAGAACGAGUGUGAGAAUGGAAAGUUCAUGCUGUGACGGUACUUAACCAGAAAGGGACGGCUAACUACGUGCCAGCAGCCGCGGUAAUACGUAGGUCCCGAGCGUUGUCCGGAUUUAUUGGGCGUAAAGCGAGCGCAGGCGGUUAGAAAAGUCUGAAGUGAAAGGCAGUGGCUCAACCAUUGUAGGCGUUGGAAACAGUUUAACUUGAGAGCGGAAGGGAAGAGUGGAAUUCCAUGUGUAGCGGUGAAAUGCGUAGAUAUAUGGAGGAACACCGGUGGCGAAAGCGGAUCUCUGUUCUAUAACUGACGCUGAGGCUCGAAAGCGUGGGGAGCGAACAGG
rnacentral:rRNA from 1 species